GGUUGAUCCUGCCAGUAGUCAUAUGCUUGUCUCAAAGAUUAAGCCAUGCAUGUCUAAGUAUAAACGAGAUUAUACAGUGAGACUGCGGAUGGCUCAUUAAAUCAGUUAUAGUUUAUUUGAUGGUUCCUUUUUCUUUUCCGCUACUUGGAUAACCGUAGUAAUCCUAGAGCUAAUACAUGCCAACGACCCCAACUAAGGGGGGGUGGAGGCGGGCGGAGGCAACUCCGUCCGUCUUCAUCCCGCUCACCCUUCGGAAGGGGCGUAUUUAUUAGAUAAAAAACCGACACAGGGC
rnacentral:rRNA from 1 species